UACAGAGGUGGCAAGCGUUGUUCGGAAUUACUGGGCGUAAAGGGCGCGUAGGCGGUUCGAUAAGUCCCGUGUGAAAUCCCUCGGCUCAACUGAGGAACUGCACGGGAAACUGACGGGCUUGAGUUCGGGAGAGGGAAGCGGAAUUCCGGGUGUAGCGGUGAAAUGCGUAGAUAUCAGGAGGAACACCGGUGGCGAAGGCGGGUCUCUGGGCCGAUACUGACGCUGAGGAGCGAAAGCGUGGGGAGCGAACAGG
rnacentral:rRNA from 1 species